UCCUCCCUCUUUCCUCGUGCCUAAUACAUGCAAGUAGAACGCUGAAGAGAGGAGCUUGCUCUUCUUGGAUGAGUUGCGAACGGGUGAGUAACGCGUAGGUAACCUGCCUUGUAGCGGGGGAUAACUAUUGGAAACGAUAGCUAAUACCGCAUAACAAUGGAUGACCCAUGUCAUUUAUUUGAAAGGGGCAAAUGCUCCACUACAAGAUGGACCUGCGUUGUAUUAGCUAGUAGGUGAGGUAACGGCUCACCUCGGCGACGAUACAUAGCCGACCUGAGAGGGUGAUCGGCCACACUGGGAAUGAGACACGGCCCAGACUCCUACGGGAGGCAGCAGUAGGGAAUCUUCGGCAAUGGGGGCAACCCUGACCGAGCAACGCCGCGUGAGUGAAGAAGGUUUUCGGAUCGUAAAGCUCUGUUGUAAGUCAAGAACGAGUGUGAGAGUGGAAAGUUCACACUGUGACGGUAGCUUACCAGAAAGGGACGGCGAACGACG
rnacentral:rRNA from 1 species